rnacentral:lncRNA from 1 species
AUACAUUUUUGAAACUUUAAUGAUACUUAAUGGGAUACCUUUUUUAUUCUUUUCUGGAGAGAAAUGCCAAAUGAUGAGUGAAAAAAGAGGGAAUCCUGAUUUUAUUUCACUGUUACGGUAUACUUUGUUUAAAGAGAUCAGGGAAGCCCACAGUAGUGAAAAUAAAAUACUUUUCUCAUGUUGCCAAUACUUCCCUACAGAAUUGAAGAUGUCACCCUUGGCUUGUAUGUUAAUUUCAGCCUGUCAACCAUGUCUGGGAUUCAGACACCUGCGAGAAUUGAGGCUGGUGCUCACGGCUGGAGCAGCUCUAGAAGAUGAAUAAAAGAAUGGCAGUAAUCCCCGCCAAGGUGAAUGGAAGCCGUCUUUGACCACAUGCAGAUGAUGAGAGACUACAGUGUGAAAUAUCUGUGCUUAAUAAUGAUAACUAGGAGUAUUUGUUGGCAAAUGCAAGCCUCAGGAUGGCAGAAGGGCUGCAAAGUAUAGAGUUGUGGUCCAAAGUGUGCUGCAGUUUUAAACAAAGAAUGGAAACCUAUGUCAUGAUUCUCUUAUUUCCCAUUUUACCCACUAAGUAUAAUAUUUGCUAAUCAUCUAAGGGUGACCAAUUGGUUUUCUCCAACUCUUCCAAGCCAUCUGCUGCAGUAAAAUGCACAAAGUGGACCAUGAAAACAGCAGAAGUUUCCAUUUCAAUGUGUAUCCAUCUCCAAUGUCCUUCUCAAGCAUUUUACUUCACAGAAAACUACGUCUAUUAAUACACUAGUAUAUCAUUUAAAGUUUCUGAAUUCUUGAUCUCUUAAUCAUGAUCUGGAUUUAGUUAUUAAUAUAUCAUAACAAAAAUGGAUACCAUAUACUGAGUACUUAUUGUAAAUAUUGGGUCAAAUCCUUACAAAUAUAUUUCUUGUUUAAUUCUAUAUGCAACUCAUGAGACAAGUUCCAGUUUUAUUCCCAUUUUACAUAAGGAACUGAUAGAGUUCUCAGUGAUUUGUUACUUUAACAUUACAUGUUUAACUAUUAUGCUGUACUUCCCCAAAUAAACCAUGCUCUCUGGCUACCCA